rnacentral:rRNA from 1 species
GACAGAGGUGCCGAGCGUUAGGCGGAAUCACUGGGCUUAAAGCGUGUGUAGGCGGAUGCCUAAGUACCUUGUGAAAUCCCACGGCUUAACCGUGGAACUGCUUGGUAUACUGGGUAUCUUGAGCCACUUAGGGGCGACCGGAACAAACGGUGGAGCGGUGAAAUGCGUAGAUAUCGGCUGGAACUCCGGUGGCGAAGGCGAGAUGCUGGACCCUUUCUGACGCUGAGGCGCGAAAGCCAGGGGAGCGAACGGG